CAUUCGUGAACGAUAUCUUGAACACAAGUAACCAGCGGUAGAAAAUGUUCUUUCGCAUUCCACACUUGUCGCAGGUAAUAGACUAAAAUAAAGGACACUGCACAUAGUAAGGCGGGUCGGGGCCUCGGGGGUAGGGGUGGCGAGAAGGGAAAGGGCGAUAAAGGGAUUAGCGACCACUCAUUUGUCACAAAGCAUUGCUUCCUAGCUCCUACUCUGACGAGCAGAUGAGACCAUAAGAUGCAGAAAAGUAAGUAUUUUAAGUGUCUCUACGUAAUCUUAAACCGUAGUAAUUGUUUUUUUUGUAAGUACGAAGAUAUAGAUGUGCUAAUUCAACAGGUUGUUACA